rfam:Macrophomina phaseolina MS6 contig00055, whole genome shotgun sequence.
GCGUUGGUGGUUUAGUGGUAAAAUUCAUCGUUGCCAAACAGAGUUGAUCCUUCCUAGAGAUACCUUCUGAAAUGGAGCUCUUCAAAGAUAUCAACAUCAGCUUCGAUGAGCCCCGGGUUCGAUUCCCGGCCGACGCA